rnacentral:lncRNA from 1 species
GGAAAAUUCUGGUGCCACAGGAGACAAUUGCUAAGCAACCCCACCCCACCAUCUAUGAUAGAGUCACGUGCUAACAUUCCAUGUUGUAAAGUGGGAGGUGACAGCCCCUGGAGCCAGCCCGGACUCUCAUCAUCCCAACUCUCCCAGAAGGAACAAUACAGAUACGGACGGUAUAUCGUUCCAGAAGCCAGCUCCUGCUUCACUUGCCCGGCCCUUCCUGGGAGCACCAAGCUGAACUGGCACCAGUGAACCUAAAGAAUUUAACUUGGAAAGAAGGUGGCUCAUUGCUUGUCCCCAAUGUUGUUAACUGACACUAUUUUUGUAUAUACG